AAAACAAUUACGCUGUUAUCCCCGGAGUAACUUUAUCAGUUAAUUCUCAUUACACAAAAUAAGGAUCUUAAUUCGUCUUUUUAUACUUUACAUCAAAAUAACACAUAUAUCAAUCAAACCCAUCCAUUUUCUCUCAAACUAUCAUAACAAAGAAGUGAAUAAAUACUCUCUACAACCGCCCCAGUCCAACUUUAUAUCAAGAAUACAAUUAUCAUCUCAUAAUUCUACAUCAAAGUUAAGAUUCACGGGGUCUUCUCGUCCCUUACCUACAUUUCAUCUUUCUCAAUGAAAAAUUAAAUUCAAUAUCACAAAAUAAACAGAGACAGACCCACUAACAUUUUCCCAUUCAUACAAUUUUACAAUUAAUAAACUAAUUAUUAUGCUACCUUUGCAA
rnacentral:rRNA from 1 species